rnacentral:lncRNA from 1 species
AAAAAUGUCGAGGAAGAUGGGAGAUGUGAACUUGUCAAUGCAUCUAACACCUCCAGGGGUAUCAUUAGAAUUCAAUAAAUGAUUAUUUUUCUUUAAAAUAACUUACUAAAAAUAGACUACUUGGCUCAAGGUUAAGCACAAUCCAAAAGCUAUUUACAAAUACUGUCGAAUGGACAUCCGGAAAAAUUAAGACCAUUGAGUGGUGAUUGGGUCAUGAGGGCAGAGCUCUUAUGAAUGGAUUAAUGCUAUUAUUGAGAGAGUGGGU